GUUCCUGAUUUUUGCUUGAUUGUAG
rnacentral:piRNA from 1 species